UGAACAGCAGGCAUUUAAAUAGAGACAUUUUUACGGCCGUUAGAAAUGGCCAGUGAUGACGGUCGAUUUGUACAGAGGAUAUUUUCGUCUCACCUUAAGAAGUCGAUAUGAUUGUUCUAAUGACAGUUCCAUAUAAUUAAUAGAGGCAUCUUCAUAUUUGUACUGUUCGACGACACAUUUACUUACCAAAGCGUCUACCGCUAAAUUGGUCCAUUGAAUAGAUAAACGUACGUAUAAGGAUAGAUUGCUAUAGCAAGAUUGAUACAAGAACGUGGUCCGCAUUUUAUUCUUCUUUCAUCAACGAUCGUUCUACCACCAUGAAACAAACCAAUUUCCAUAUUCAAUUAACAGAAAAUAUGUUCCGCAUGAUUGACGAAACAAAACUCUAUGACAAUGAACAAACAUGAGCUUUCUUACCAUUAGUUUCCACAAAAUUUUCUUCCUUCAAAACAAUUCUUCUUAAGCAUUAUUUGUAAUAAACUGCUUUUCUCCACCUCUACGAUUGUUAUUAGACUAGCAGAUUCGAUAGAUAAAUUUAUUCUCUUUCAUCUAUACAUAUUUGCUGCACCUAUGUUCUUCAAUAUCCCUUCAGAUGAUCUCUUGAAUAGUUCUCUUGUUUUUCUCAAUCUUUACGUGCAUAAUGAAUCUUUCGGACGAGAAACUAUCGACUAACUGACGAAUACAUAUUAUCGAAUGAUAUUCUUGAAUCCUAAGAUAUCUUUCUUUCCUAUUUUUAUAGAAAUAACAACCGUUCUUAUCCAAUAAAAAUCCAGUAAUCAUGGAGGAUGGAACGAUGUUGAAGCAUGAUCUUAUCGUGGCAACAUUCUCGUUGAGGGUCUAGUAAUAACCUGCGAAAACAUAAGUCAGAAUCGAGAUGAAAACACGAACUCUUGCGUGCCUGACUGCGGCGACAACUAUGGACAAAAUAUCAACUACAAGUGAAAGUGGUGAUGGCUGUCCCCCACCAUGCGUCUGUCCGGUUAUUGUUUAAGCUUGCAUUGGUCAUAACAUAUCAAUGAGUUUCGGUUGGGAUAGAAUAGGUAAUGUUAGUAGGCCGUGACCUCACAUUUUUCAAUCUUUUAAAUGUAGAUCUUUUUUAGAUGGUCGCUUUUAGGUGGUUUUGUAGUGAUUCGAAUUAGAUAUGACGUUGGUACGCAUUUGUUCCGCAAUUGCAUAAAGAAUAAUAAAUAUAAUUGUUAAAUAUAAUAAUUAGUAUAUAAAUAUAGGUUAAAAAAUAAGAUUUUAUAGAAUAUUUUGCCAAAAAUAAGUAGUGAAAACUUAUAUAUUAUAUUAUUUUAAUGUAAAUUAAAACAUGGAUUCAUUUCCACUCUACCUAUGAGCGUAUUUUUCACGUGAUUUUCUUUUCAUGACUAUUCCACUCUAUACUAUUUCAACUAUUACUUCUAUUGUUCUAUUGUACAACUAUUACUAUUACUACUAGUAGUAGUAAUAGUCUACUACUGAUUAUAAAUAUACUAGUAGUAAUAGUAGUCUAUUACUGAUUAUAAAUCAAUAAUAAUAAAAACGUAUUUAAAUAUUACAUACAUUAUGCUUAUUUUAUAUUAUAAUAGUAAAAGCACUGGUGAUACUUAGCUAUUUGAAAAUCUCGAAUUAAACGUCCUAAGCAUGUUGUGUUUCUAAAAUAUACGCGGAAUUACGAAUCGAAAGAU